CUGUCGGCGUGCUUAACACAUGCAAGUCGAACGGAAAGGCCCUGCUUUUGUGGGGUGCUCGAGUGGCGAACGGGUGAGUAACACGUGAGUAACCUGCCCUUGACUUUGGGAUAACUUCAGGAAACUGGGGCUAAUACCGGAUAGGAGCUCCUGCUGCAUGGUGGGGGUUGGAAAGUUUCGGCGGUUGGGGAUGGACUCGCGGCUUAUCAGCUUGUUGGUGGGGUAGUGGCUUACCAAGGCUUUGACGGGUAGCCGGCCUGAGAGGGUGACCGGCCACAUUGGGACUGAGAUACGGCCCAGACUCCUACGGGAGGCAGCAGUGGGGAAUAUUGCACAAUGGGCGGAAGCCUGAUGCAGCAACGCCGCGUGCGGGAUGACGGCCUUCGGGUUGUAAACCGCUUUCGCCUGUGACGAAGCGUGAGUGACGGUAAUGGGUAAAGAAGCACCGGCUAACUACGUGCCAGCAGCCGCGGUGAUACGUAGGGUGCGAGCGUUGUCCGGAUUUAUUGGGCGUAAAGGGCUCGUAGGUGGUUGAUCGCGUCGGAAGUGUAAUCUUGGGGCUUAACCCUGAGCGUGCUUUCGAUACGGGUUGACUUGAGGAAGGUAGGGGAGAAUGGAAUUCCUGGUGGAGCGGUGGAAUGCGCAGAUAUCAGGAGGAACACCAGUGGCGAAGGCGGUUCUCUGGGCCUUUCCUGACGCUGAGGAGCGAAAGCGUGGGGAGCGAACAGGCUUAGAUACCCUGGUAGUCCACGCUGUAAACGGUGGGUACUAGGUGUGGGGUCCAUUCCACGGGUUCCGUGCCGUAGCUAACGCUUUAAGUACCCCGCCUGGGGAGUACGGCCGCAAGGCUAAAACUCAAAGGAAUUGACGGGGCCCCGCACAAGCGGCGGAGCAUGCGGAUUAAUUCGAUGCAACGCGUAGAACCUUACCUGGGUUUGACAUGGAUCGGGAGUGCUCAGAGAUGGGUGUGCCUCUUUUGGGGUCGGUUCACAGGUGGUGCAUGGCUGUCGUCAGCUCGUGUCGUGAGAUGUUGGGUUAAGUCCCGCAACGAGCGCAACCCUUGUUCACUGUUGCCAGCACGUUAUGGUGGGGACUCAGUGGAGACCGCCGGGGUCAACUCGGAGGAAGGUGGGGAUGACGUCAAGUCAUCAUGCCCCUUAUGUCCAGGGCUUCACGCAUGCUACAAUGGCUGGUACAGAGAGUGGCGAGCCUGUGAGGGUGAGCGAAUCUCGGAAAGCCGGUCUCAGUUCGGAUUGGGGUCUGCAACUCGACCUCAUGAAGUCGGAGUCGCUAGUAAUCGCAGAUCAGCAACGCUGCGGUGAAUACGUUCCCGGGGCUUGUACACACCGCCCGUCAAGUCAUGAAAGUUGGUAACACCCGAAGCCGGUGGCCUAACCGUUGUGGGGGAGCCGUCGAAGGUGGGACUGGUGAUUAGG
rnacentral:rRNA from 1 species